AGUCGUAACAAGGUUUCCGUAGGUGAACCUGCGGAAGGAUCAUUGUCGAAACCUGCUCAGCAGAACAACCCGCGAACCUGUUUCGUAUUGAGGGGGGCCAUGAUUGCGUUCGCGUCGUGGUCCUCCGUCGUCGCCAGGGUGAGGGUGCUAGCUCUUGCUCUGGUGGCCGAACAAUGAACCCCGGCACGGACUGUGCAAAGGAAGCUUAACGAGAGAGCUUGCUCCCGUCGCUCCGGAGACGGAGCGUGCACAGGGAGCAGUGCCUUCUUUGAUUAUCCAUAACGACUCUCGGCAACGGAUAUCUCGGCUCUCGCAUCGAUGAAGAACGUAGCGAAAUGCGAUACUUGGUGUGAAUUGCAGAAUCCCGUGAACCAUCGAGUCUUUGAACGCAAGUUGCGCCCCAAGCCGUUAGGCCGAGGGCACGUAUGCCUGGGUGUCACGCAUCGUUGCCCCCUCAACCUCACGCCUCGAAUGAGUCGUGGGGACGUGUUGCGGGCGGAUAUUGGCCUCCCGCGCGACGCGUAUCUCGCGGUUGGCCCAAAUUUGAGUCCUCGGUAAUGGACGCCGUGACGUUCGGUGGUGGCAAAUGAGAAACCUCGAGCUCUCGUCACGCGUGCAUUAUCGGUGUAAGGCUCUCGGACCCUGAACCACGCAUCGCGACCCCA
rnacentral:rRNA from 1 species